rnacentral:piRNA from 1 species
UACCUACAAAAACAGGCAGUGGGCCA